CCAAUACAUCAAAAGGUUAAGUACUUAUUGAGAUCAUGUUAUAGCCAAAACUUUAAGCCGCAUCUCUUAUUAUUUUAGCAUGAAAUUAAGACAGCAACUUUCGUUAUAAAUUCAUUAGUGUUUGGUGCAAUUGAUGGAAAGCAUGGCUAGGAAUCAAAAGUUUAUUCAUGUUUUUGUGUGUGCCAACCUCUUCAUCUUCGUCCACUUUACUUGCUCAGGAGUCUACGCCACAAACAACUGUAAGCCAUAUAGUUAUGGUGAUUGUAUCAGAUGUUGGAGAGCGAGCGUAACGUGGUCGGGUGUUUGCACCCCAAAUUGUGCAAAGCAAUGCAUGGAAUGGGAGUCUGCAGACGGGGGAGGUUGUUCGUGGCUUUUCAAAUGCGACUGCGUCUUCAUCUACUCGCAACUACCCACGGGUAAAGGUCACAUUUGUGGCAUCACUAGUAUCGCCUCUAUCAAGCGACUUGUGGGUGGCUAGCUAUUGUACCUUUCCAAGACGCCAAUAUUGCACCAUAUGUCCCAUAAGAUGCACAAACCUCAUUCUAAAAAGGUUAUGGGUUAUAUCAGUCACAAUAUGUUGGAGUGAUGCUUUUCACGGCGUGGUUGAAUCGCCUAUUAUUUCAAAAUUUCUUCAUAAGAUUCCAACUCCUGCAAAGAUUAAUAUUCUCAAGUUUUUUUUUUUUUUUUUUUUUUUUUUUUUCUAAAUCUUCAUUUUCCCAAGUUAAUUCUCAGCACUCAAGAACGAACCUCCAAAAAAAAAUAUUGAGAAAUUUGCUCCUUUAUUUUCGGCAUGCACCCAUACUUUAAUUUAUUUCUAUUUCUCUACAAAUUAUAGACUAUUUCACAAAAAGCUAAUCGACACAAAUAAGUUCUAAAAGAUUUAUUCCUUCAAACUUUAAUAACAAAAAUAGGCCAAAAUUUCUAUAAAGCAAAAAUGGGCCAAAAUUUCUGUACCAUAUCACUGUUAUACAUGCCUCCAAAGUUAGCAAAAUAAUCCUGAUCAUCAUUCCCCCUUAUCGGAUUAAAAUCCAACGGCAGCAAAGAGUAAUCUAGUGGCUUCACGCAAGAUAUAGGCUGCGGGUAAUUAAUCCCCUCUACUUCCAUAUUCUUCUGAAGUAUCAUCGCCUGAGUACCCAUUAUUCUUGAUGUUGUAUCUUUCAUGAUCACCAUAUAAUCAUUCUUUUUCUUUUUCUUUUUCAAAUGAGCUGGGGGGGCCAUGGCCCCCUACUGGCCACCUCCCAGCUCCGUCUCUGGCCUGAAGUUUGAUUUGGUCCAGAAGUCCUAUCCUCAUUCAACUGAGAGUUGAAUUGUUAACUAGAUUCUUCAAGAGUCCUUCUUAGACCCGAAUUGGGACUACUACCCCAAUUCGACUUGGAGUAUGGUUAUUCACAACAUUAAUAAUGAUUUGGCUGAAAUUAAAUAUUUCAUGGUUUGUUUGUGUCACUAGAAAGAAUAAAAAUAGAGAUGACCUAUUUUACGGUUACAAUUUUUGUUUUGUUACAUCCAACAUUGUAAAUUUUCUACAUAUCAUUUAAAAAUUUUAAAUGGCAUGAAAAUAUAUUCACCAUGUGACAAUAUAUAUACUAUUAAUUAUAUCAGUGAAAUUUAAUCUGAACCAUGAAAUGAAACCUUUCUAUAUCUCUUGAAAUAUAGAUUAUCCUAAUCCCGCUACUAAGGCCACGUACACUUGACCUUGUAAGGGGUUUGAACCCUUGUUCUUUCACUCUUUGGUAGAGAGAGUCAUCAGAGCCCUUGAUUGUUACUCUUCUUUGGUGUGGCAGCAAGAGAUCUAAAAUAAAAGCAAUUAUCUUUCCAUGUGCUUUUGUGAUUUGUUUGAGAGAGAGAGUUUGGCUAUUUGAGCUUGUAGUUUUUUCAAAUUCGAUAAGAUAAUUUGAGAGAAUCCUGAUCUAAGCGUGACAUGAUCAAGUAUUUGUAUUAGUUAUAGAAAUUUUGUCGAGCAAUGCCAAAAGUGAGAGUUUGCAACCAGUGGAGGUUGUUCACUAAUUGUAAUAAAAUGUUGGUAUAUAUGUGUGUGUGUGUGUGGGGGGGAAGGUUUGUGCCUCUUUUUUCUUGAGAAGGUUCUUUCUUGGAUGAAGCAAAUCAAUGAAAUCUCUAUCAUUUUUCUAUUUCAAAAAAGAAAAGCAAGGUUCUUCCUGCAUAUUACUCAAA